UCACAAAGCCCCAUAGCCUCUACCAGAAAAGGUGUUUCACCCUCUCCUAAAAAGACAGGAAGGUGGAGGUCACAUACUCCUUCUUGGAAAACUCAUAUCAUUUCUUGUCUUUCAUUUUUGAGAUCAUAACCUGAACUGAAGAAUGUUGAAUAGUGUCCCAAAUGCCUUUUAAUCAGUUUUCAUGAUGAGCAAAUAAAUCAACUUAGAAGUGGACUUCAGCACCUUCCUAUUCUCUGGCCUUCACCGGUCAUGGUGUGUAGGAAGCUGGUGAUGGUGUUGGGAAGAGGAUUUCACAGCUCAGUGAAGCGAUCCCCGUGACCAGGAACGACAAAUAGCAACAAGCUAGAAGAAGGCACAGUAGCCUCAGACCAUGGAGCUGCCCAGCUGUCAUGUGACCAUCACCUCAAGAGACCUCAGCUUCCCAGUGGCAGGAAACCAUAGCAUCUAUGUGUUUGUGAAUAGAAAGGCACUCUGCUGACAUUGAUGAAAUGAACCUCAUGUUCAGGUCCUCUCCCACCCCAGUUCUAACACUGAAAUCCUAAUCUGCACGGUGAUGAUGUUCAAGAGGUGAGAUCUCUAGGAGCUAAUUAUGUCAUGAGGGCUGAACCCUCAAGUAUGGGGCCUGCUUGAAUUAAAAUACCAAUAAAAAGGAAACCCUAGAGAGGUCCUCAGUGUCUUUCAUCAGGUAAGGUCCCAGUGAAAAGGACCAUUGCAGCCACAGAACUUCAGAUGUGCUUAGAGAUGAAAUUGUCAUAAAAUAGGGAGUGGAGAGAGUUAUAAUUAAUUUUCUGUAUUUUCCUGUGAAGUCUAGAUUCCAUCAAUCCCGACUCAUCUUCAUCAUGGAACAUUUAUUAAGAUUGAGGAUCUGGACUGAGUUCUAAGAAUCCUGCCCCUGAGCCCCUGAUAUAUGCCGCUCAGGCUUUUUUCAGAUUUGAGAUUCUCCAACACCAGCCAUGGACCACUAUGUCUGGCCUUGUCUUUUAGUAAGAAUAGUUCUUUUAUCCUAAUGAAAGACUUGAAAAACAAGCACUAUAACAAAAGAGCCAAGUAGAUCUUUGCAUAUUGUGGCUUGUCAGUUAUGGAAGAAUAAAGCAGAAUGAUCAAAUUCAAUAAACCUUGAUGACAGAUUUAUUGACUAGCUAGACUAAAAUUAUGUUUUCAGUGUACUGUGUAACCUGCCACUUUAAUUUCCAUUGAAAAAGGAAAUUUUGACUGUAUAUCUUUUUAAAAAUGUAAUUAACUCAUGAUUUGCUUAUACACACUAGUGGGGCUCAGCAUAAAUUUCUGUAUGUGCAUAUAGCACAGAUCAAAUCCAACUCCUCCUUUUCAAACAUCCGUUCUUUCCUGAUCUUAGUGAUCAUUUUUAUGUCAACAUUUUAAAAGCUUGUGCAUAUAAGAGAGAUGGCGGUGUGCUUGUUUACCUGUGUCUUGCCUAUUUUACCUGAUGUCACUGAUUCUGUUUGACUGUUGACAGGAUCUCCUUCUUUAUGUCCAGGUAAUAUUUAAUUAUAUAUGUGCACACAUAUACAUAUAAAUAAUCUUUAUUCAACUAUUUGUUGCUGGGCAUCCGGACUAGUUCCUUGUGUGUUGUAACUAGUGCAGCAGACUUUGGUGUGCUGCUUUGCCUUUCUUUGGACAUAUCCAGAGAACUGGUAUAUCUAUAUUUAGUUUUUGAGGAACCUCUAUAAUGCCCUGCGUACCGGCUGGAAUAAUUUAUAUUAUCGUCCCCAGUAUAUGGGUUUCAUUUCUGCACAUCUUUGCCAGAACUUGUUAUUUAUUUUAUAAUACCCGUUUUCAUCAUAGUUGGGAUUUAUAUUUCUCCAAUGGGCAAUGCUUUUCAGUGUUUUAAUAUAUUAAACAACUAGUUUGUUUUCCCAUUUUAGAGUUACAUUUGCUUAAAUUGUUUUUUAGCUUCUUUUAGAAGUUUUUAGCUUAAUUUGUCAGAGAAGCAAUGGUAAGUGUCCUGUCCCGUUCUGUAUGAUGCCUCUUCAUCCUGACGCUUCUUGUGCUGUUCAGUCCUGAGUUUGCUUUCUUUCCAACUAAUAAUAGAGCUAAUAAUAAAGCUUUCCUUUUGUUUUCUGCCAUUACAGGUCCUCUGCAGAAAACCACUGCCCCUCCAGGGGCCUUCAAGCGCUCCCUCUUUUUCAAGUUCUAGUGGCUUCUGAUCUCACACUUAAGGCUUUGCUUACCUUCCCCUCCCCCUUCUAUUUCAAUGAUUUUUUUAAGUUGAAAAUUGGUUCUUUUCUCACAUAAUAUAUCUUGAUUACUGUUUCUCCUCCCGGUUUCUCCCCCAUCUCCCCUUUCCAUCUGGUUCUCUGUCAAGUACAGAGUGCGAGAUGAGGGUCCAGUUUGACUCCUUUGGGGAUGCACCCUUUUUGUUUGUUUGUUCGUUUUUGCCACUUGUCUCUUUCUUUGCCAAUGCCAUGCUGUCUAGGACACUGCUGCUCCACAGUAGUUCUUGAUAUCAGAUAUUGUGACAUUUCCAGCUUUUAUCUCCCCAGGAUUCUUUUGGCUAUCUGGGGUCCCGUGGUUCCAUAUGGACUCUAGGGUCAUUACUCCUAGUUCUCUAAAGACUGUCACUGACCUUUUGAUAGGGAGUAGAUGGGACAUUAAAAGAAUAUUAAUUCUUCCAAUCUACAAACACGAGAAGCCUGUAUAUUUUUAAUGACUUCUUACAUAUAUUUCAUCAGUGUUUUGUAAUUAUUAUUGAGUUUUUUCCAUGUUUCUUGACUGUGUAUUCCUCAGAAUUAGCCCUGGCAGCUGUUCAUUGAGUCAUCCAGCAUCUACCUAUCUCUUGGGUUCAGAGAGGAAGUGCCUGAUCAGGCCCCUUCUGUAUAACAAUACGAAUCCUUUAAUGAACGUCUAAUUUAGUCAAUCUGGGGUACUGUUGACACCUCGGUUGGGAGGAUUGGUCAUGAGUUUAUCUAGAUAGAAUUUGGAAACCAAGUAAUCAUUUAGGAAAACUUUCAUAAUACAAAUUGAACUUUGAAAGAUGGACUUAAAAGUAUCAUGCUAUAUAUAUUACAGACACUAGGAAAAGUCACAGGACAGAGCACUCCCCAGGACUCACAUCUCUUCCGAUCAGGUCUUCCUGGUUUUCCACAAUUCCCCAGGGUGCGAUACCUAUGGUGCAUAUCUUCCCUCGAGACUUAGAUGCGUGGUCCUUCAAGGCAUCUCCCACAUGACGGAUGACACCUAAGAGCAGAGAGAGGGGGUUUAGCUUGGUCUAUUAAGUGUCCUUUCUAUCACUCUGCAGGAAAUUAAUGAAUGCCUUUAACUUUGGGAGGAGAUGUUAGACAUACAAUUUUGACAUAGUUCUAAGAACUACUCCUUUAGAAGAUACUCCAUGAGUGGUUAUAUUGCAGAUAUAUUUCUCAGAGUCAAUACAAACUUAAACAAUACAUUCCUUCAAUUCCCAUGGAAAAAAUGAAGAAUAUCUAGUAUCUAUAUACAAUAAAUGUUAUUUAUUCUAGAAAAAUGCUUUGCUUAUAGCAUAGUGAUUUAUUAGUAUCCUGAAUCCUUGGAAUAAAAAGCAGAAGCACUAAUCGAUUCUAUGGUCUGUGAAGGAAUUAGGGUCAUUUCAAUAGUUAUUUACCUAAGAUUUUAUUAACCUCAAUUUCCUCUUCCUAUUUAUAUCACAUGAUAUGGAAAGCCUGGUAAUAAUGCUGUAUUACUCAAUGGAAAAUUUAUGCUAAAAUAUAGGACCUGUGUUUGGUUCCUUAUACCUAUGUUGAACAGUUCACAACUGCCUGUAACUCCAGACCCAAGAAGGAUCCAAUGGUUCUGGCUUCUCAGAGCCCUACACUCCUGCACAAACUCACUCUCAGAUACACAUGCAUAAAUAUAAUAUAAAAUAAAAUAUUUUGAACAAGCAUAUAAUAAUCUAGAGUGAACCUUGUAAUUUAAAACCCUGAUAGAAAUGGUAAUAGAAAAGAAAAACUAGGGCUGGGAAUAUGCCCAGUGGAUAAAGCAACUCUCAUACAAGUAUAAGGGCCCGAGUUUGAAUCACCAGAACCCAUGUAAAAGCCAGGUACAGUAGGAGUAGUAUGAGUGUUUGUGGCGUGCCUAUUGAGGUGGGUAGCAGAGAAUGGAGAGUCUAUGGCUCGCAGGCUAGCGAGCCUGGUGUAUAUACAGGAGUGAACAACAGAGAAAUUCUGCUUCAAUAAGGUGAAAGGAGGUAGGGGCUGAUACUCGAAGUUGCCUGCCUAUGUGUGGUAGUCAUGCCAUGUAUUAGCUAUGGCAUGUACAGUCUCUCUCUCUCUCUCUCCUCCCUCUUUCCCACAUUCCCUUAAAAAAGUUACUAAGCUUGAAAUUGCCUAAAUUAAAAAGGCAGACUUUUCAAUUUAAAACAAAAAGUUAUCUUUUUAAAAGUUACUGGACACAUGUUAAUUUGACCUAUUAAAAACAUCCUGUGAUUUCCUGUCAGUCAUGUAUACAAAUUCUGCAAGUCAUUAAAUAGUAAAGUCACUCCUCCUAUGCAGUUCUUUGUUGAAAAAACAUCUGUAUAGCUCUCCCCAAGGCAAAGGAAGGAGAAGAAGCAGUAAGAGGAGGUUGGUGAGCAAGUGAGGUAGAGAAAUAUGGAUAUUUUCAACGUGAGGCCAAAUUAUCCUGGACACAACGUGGUUGCAGCUGAUUCUCUCCGUCCUAUUCUGAUUACCUGUG